rnacentral:rRNA from 1 species
AUUGCACGCUGGCGGAAGGCCUAACACAUGCAAGUCGAGCGCGCGGCGGACGGGUGAGUAAUGCCUGGGAAUUGCCCAGUAGAGGGCGAUAACAGUUGGAAACGCCUGCUAAUACCGCAUACGAUUGGAUUGCCCAGGUGGGAUUCGCUAGUUGGGGAGGUAAUGUCUCACCAAGGCGACGAUCCCUAGCUGGUCGGAGAGGAUGAUCAGCCACACUGGAACUGAGAAACGGUCCAGACUCCAACGGGAGGCAGCAGUGGGGAAGAGUGCACAAUGGGGGAAACCCUGAUGCAGCCAUGCCGCGUGUGUGAAGAAGGCCUUCGGGUUGUAAAGCACUUUCAGCGAGGAGGCGUUACUCGCAGAAGAAGCACCGGCUAACUCCGUGCCAGCAGCCGCGGUAAUAC